AACUGUUUAUUGUUUCACCCACACUUGACUCUCUACACUUUCAUGUGGAAAGAAAGUUUCUUUUUACACAUACCUCAGUAAGUCCAACACAGAAACGUUAUUCAUGUUAUUGUUAUUAUUAGGUUCCCUCUUGAAUUUACAGUUUCUUAGAGGUGAUCUUCAACUUAUCUCUACACAGAAUUUAGAGAAUUCAUCAAGUGAUGUGUGUUUCAAUUAUUUUGGAAAAUUUCUAAUUUCAGAUUUUGUCAGACUGAAUGAAAAUCUCCUUCCGAGUAAAAGAACAACACUGUUUAAUGAGGAUUUUUUGUUUGUAAAUCGUUGGCUGCUGUAAACUCUGGUUUUAGUUCCUUGUUGUUUCUUGAUUUGAGGUUAAUCCCUCAAAGCUGUUUUGUGGACUGGUUUCUUACAGCACUAUUUGUUGCGUCACUGAGAUCGCGAGUAGGCCGCCUACGUCAACAAUCUAAAACGCAGUGUGUUUAUUGGAAUUGUGUGGUCCUGGCACGGUGAUCCUUGAGCCAAUACUCGCCUUCGUCCAUGACAGAAGAGUGACUUAACUACGACCUGUAACUACGGCCUGUAACUACCCAACACGAGGUCGCUGGGCAUUCGCAGUCAAGAGGAACUAUGCAACCUUCCACGGCAGUUGCAGACCCCCAAGAUCUCCUGGUCGUUCCUUGAGCCCGAUUAAAGGCAAGUCCCUGUCAGGGUUGUUAAUAUCGGUAGCGCGUAAAGUGACACCUAAUAGAAGAUAUUCGUACUCUUUACUGUGUUGAUGAUGGAGAAAAAGUCGAACACUCGUUAUGGUUACUUAACUUUAGAUUGUCAAGUUAAAUUUAGAGUUCAACCUGCAGACGGUUUGCAUGUCCUUCACGCUUGAAGGUCGCGGGGAACAUUACGUAAAUCUGUCAAUGCGGUGGUGUAGAGGUUGGGUGAGAACUGGACGUGUUGCAUCAUUAUCAAGCAGACCCAUCCCCAACUACGUCAAC